UUAAGAAUAUAGCCUAUUACUUUGAUUUUUUUCUACUUGAAUUUUUUCUACUAGGCUGAGGGUAUGCUAUUCCAAAUGAUCCCACUUGAUACAAAUACAAUAUUUUAUUUCUGAAAUCAAUAGAACAGUUUCUUAUGGAGAUUUACCCUGUUUUAUGCCUUUUCUAGAGCUACUCUUAAGCCCCCAAAGAUGUAUAGCAAAGCUGAAGUUGAUGUAUGAAUUGAAGAAUUUACUUAUUUCUAUCAUAUCUACUAUCUUAAUAAUUGAUGCCUCACAUUGUUCUAGGAAAAUUUAUAAUAGGUUUCAAAAAACUUAAAACAGGCACAAUAGUCGGAAUAGUAAUACUGCAUGGUUAAUUUUAUUUGUCAAUUUCAUUGGGUUAAGUGAUGCCUAGGUAUUUGGUAAAUCAUUAUUUGGGGGUAUGUGGAAAACUGUUCCCAAAAGAGAUAAGCAGUUGAAUCUGUAAACUGGGUAAAGCAGAACUGUCUUUACCAAUAUGGAUCAAGCAGGAAAGAAAAAAAAAAUGGAAAAGGUGAAUUUACUCUCUUCUGGAGAUGAGAUACCUAUCUUCUCCUGCCCUUAGAUAUUAAUUUUCUUUGUUCUUGGGCAUUCAGACUCUGGGACUUAUACCAGCAGACCCUAGCUUCUCAAGCAUUUGAGUUCUUUGAGUUCACCGUAACCACAGAAGGCCUUUUCGCUUGUCUUAAUUUUACCAUCAGCUUUCCUGGCUCUUAAACUUGCAAAUGGCAGAUCAUGGAAGUUCUUGACCUUCAUAAUCAUGUUAGCCAAUUCCCAUAAUAAAUAUUCUUUUGUCUGUCUGUUUGUCAAUUUAUCUAUCUAAUCUAUCUACUCAUCCUUGCAUCUUUCCCAUUGGUUCUGUUUCUUUGGAUAACCCUGAAAUAGAGCAGUCUCUUAUGGAGAUUUACCCUGAAAUCUUUAUGAACACACAAGAAAGAAUAUAAGCUCAUAAUCUCACUGAAUCCUCAAAACAAUAAGACAACCCAUUAGCAGGUAAGACAAUUAAGCGAUAUAAUUCAGGCUUUGUUGUAUGGUGUAUUCAAGCUUUAGUUGAUGAAAUAAGAACCAUGUAGAAAAGUAGGAGGAUAGGGGUCCUAUGUUAGUUUCCUAAGAAUGCCAAAGCAAAGUAAUAUAAACUAGGUAGCUUUUGACAAAAGAAAUAUAUUAUCUCACAGUUCUGGGACUAGAAGUUGAAAUUAAGGAAUGUAUUUUCACAUGAUUUCUCUCUGUGAAUCUUGGUGUCUGUCUCUUUUUCAGAGAUGCUAAUCAUAAUGGAUUAAAGGUCCACUGUACUCCAUUAUUACUUUAUUUUAACUUAUCUAAUUACAUUUGUAACUAUCCUGUUUCCAAAUAAAUUCUCAAUCUGAGGCUCAAGAAGCACAUGGAUUUUUGAGGAGACACCAUCCAAUCCAUACACUUGGCUAGCUCCUGAGACUCAUGAGCAGUGAGGAACCCAGGUACCAUAAAUUAAGUGAUGUGAAACAACA
rnacentral:lncRNA from 1 species